rnacentral:rRNA from 1 species
UCAUAGAGGGUGAGAAUCCCGUCUGGGAUGGGCGGCCGCGCCCGUGUGAAGCUCCUUCGACGAGUCGAGUUGUUUGGGAAUGCAGCUCUAAGCGGGUGGUAAAUUUCAUCUAAAGCUAAAUACUGGCCGGAGACCGAUAGCGCACAAGUAGAGUGAUCGAAAGAUGAAAAGCACUUUGAAAAGAGAGUUAAACAGCACGUGAAAUUGUUGAAAGGGAAGCGUUGUCCACCAGACUCGCCCGGGGGGGUUCAGCCGGCACCUGUGCCGGUGUACUCCUCUCCGGGCGGGCCAGCAUCGGUUUGGGCGGCUGGUGAAAGGCCCCGGGAAUGUACCACCCUUCGGGGUGCCUUAUAGCCCGGGGUGCCAUACAGCCAGCCUGGACCGAGGCCCGCGCUUCGGCGAGGAUGCUGGCGUAAUGGUGGUCAACGGCCCGUCUUGAAACACGGACCAAGGAGUCUAACAUCUAUGCGAGUGUUCGGGUGUCAAACCCGUCCGCGCAGUGAAAGCGAACGGAGGUGGGAGCCCCUCGGGGCGCACCAUCGACCGAUCCUGAUGUCUUCGGAUGGAUUUGAGUAAGAGCAUAGCUGUUGGGACCCGAAAGAUGGUGAACUAUGCCUGAAUAGGGCGAAGCCAGAGGAAACUCUGGUGGAGGCUCGCAGCGGUUCUGACGUGCAAAUCGAUCGUCAAAUUUGGGUAUAGGGGCGAAAGACUAAUCGAACCAUCUGGUAGCUGGUUCCUGCCGAAGUUUCCCUCAGGAUAGCAGUAACGACAUCAGUUUUAUGAGGUAAAGCGAAUGAUUAGAGGCCUUGGGGUUGAAACAACCUUAACCUAUUCUCAAACUUUAAAUAUGUAAGAAGCCCUUGUUGCUUAGUUGAACGUGGGCGUUAGAAUGAAACGUUACUAGUGGGCCAUUUUUGGUAAGCAGAACUGGCGAUGCGGGAUGAACCGAACGCGAGGUUAAGGUGCCGGAAUGCACGCUCAUCAGACACCACAAAAGGUGUUAGUUCAUCUAGACAGCCCGACGGUGGCCAUGGAAGUCGGAAUCCGCUAAGGAGUGUGUAACAACUCACGGGCCGAAUGAACUAGCCCUGAAAAUGGAUGGCGCUCAAGCGUGCUACCCAUACCUCGCCGUCGGGGUAGAAACGAUGCCCCGACGAGUAGGCAGGCGUGGGGGUCCG